CAAGAGUAGCCUGGGCAACAUGGCGGAAACUCCAUCUCUACAAAAAAGUAGCCAGCUGCUGAGAUAGAUGUUAAAAAUCAAGGCCAGGACUACAGUAAGGCUGAAAUCAUUGAAGUGCUUGGAGCAGAACUGAAAGAGGAAAACAACAAACACAGUAAGAGUCAACACCAAAGACUUCAGUGACCCCCAGAUAUGUGGGGAUUUCCCCUAUCAGCAAGCAAGCAAGCAAUCAGUUCUGCAGCAGACACCAACUGCGUAUCCUCCAAUUUAAUUCUGACACUAUCUGCCUGGAAAUAGCAUCAGAUCCCUCAGGCUGAGGGCUCAGUCCCUAAGACUGCCAUCUGUUCAGACACCAGUUGCAAGUCUGGGCCUCUAGAACUUCUGACCAACCGGGCUUCAAGUUGGCGUUCCCAGACAUUUACAGUGGCUCAUGGCUGGAGGAUCCCUUGAGGCCAAGAGUUCAAGACCAGUCUGGGCAACGUGAGACCUGUCUCAAGAAAAUAAAAAGUAAAAUUAGCU